GGGCACAUCUCGUUGAAAUACCAGUUCCCGUACGAUCACCGAAGUUAAACAAUGUCGAGCCCAGUCAGUACUUCGAUGGGUGACCGCUUCCGAAUAUGAG